UGGGGAAUAUUGGACAAUGGGCGCAAGCCUGAUCCAGCCAUGCCGCGUGUGUGAAGAAGGCCUUUUGGUUGUAAAGCACUUUAAGCGAGGAGGAGGCUACUUGGAUUAAUACUCUAGGAUAGUGGACGUUACUCGCAGAAUAAGCACCGGCUAACUCAGUGCCAGCAGCCGCGGUAAUACAGAGGGUGCGAGCGUUAAUCGGAUUUACUGGGCGUAAAGCGUGCGUAGGCGACUUCUUAAGUCGGAUGUGAAAUCCCUGAGCUUAACUUAGGAAUUGCAUUCGAUACUGGGAAGCUAGAGUAUGGGAGAGGAUGGUAGAAUUCCAGGUGUAGCGGUGAAAUGCGUAGAGAUCUGGAGGAAUACCGAUGGCGAAGGCAGCCAUCUGGCCUAAUACUGACGCUGAGGUACGAAAGCAUGGGGAGCAAACAGG
rnacentral:rRNA from 1 species